rnacentral:rRNA from 1 species
CCUACGGGAGGCAGCAGUGAGGAAUAUUGGUCAAUGGUCGGGAGACUGAACCAGCCAAGCCGCGUGCGGGAGGAAGGUACAGAGUAUCGUAAACCUCUUUUGUCAGGGAACAAAGGCGGGGACGUGUCCCCGGAUGAGUGUACCUGAAGAAAAAGCAUCGGCUAACUCCGUGCCAGCAGCCGCGGUAAUACGGAGGAUGCGAGCGUUAUCCGGAUUUAUUGGGUUUAAAGGGUGCGCAGGCGGUCUGUUAAGUCUGCGGUAAAAGCCCGGGGCUCAACCCGGGCCCGCCGUUGAAACUGGCAGUCUCGAGUCGGAGAGAAGUAUGCGGAAUGCGCGGUGUAGCGGUGAAAUGCAUAGAUAUGGCGAAGAACUCCGAUUGCGAAGGCAGCAUGCCGGCGCCACACUGACGCUGAGGCACGAAAGCGUGGGUAUCGAACAGGAUUAGAUACCCGAGUAGUC